rnacentral:lncRNA from 1 species
AGAAGAGCCCGUUCCCUCUAGCCAAAGGACAGGGAAAAGGAUGGUCUAAGAAACUGUCAGUACUCACCCUGCGCCAGUCAAACACCAGGGGAAUCCCUUCACCUCCACACAUUUUCAGUAGGUCUGAGUGAGAAGUUGACUUCCUGCUCCCUUUUCCCACCCGUCCUCGAAAGCACGCAGCAUGCUGCGGUCUCCCUGCCUGGAGAUGGGAGGUUUGCCUGAGCAGGGAGCUCAUCUUUCACUCCCUGCCUGGCAGAAGCAGAUGGCACUUCAGUUUUUUCACCAGGUGGUGUCAACAGAGCCAACCAGGUGCAACCAGGUGGGGCAGGUAGGGUCUAAUUACCACAAAGCUUGAUGUUCUUUUCCCCUUCCCCCUCCCUGCCAUAGUCUUCCAGUUGAGGGGAGUGGCGUUGAGCCUGCACACCCACUGGCAUCAGUAAGGUAGAAUGGGCGGAAAGACGCAGGGCUGCCCGGCACCCACUUAACCCUUUCUGGUGGAAUGGAGCUCAUUAAGGUGCAGCUGUUGUGUCGUCACAAAGUGGCAUGACUUAGCCCUUGGGUUGCUGCUCCCUGGUGGGAGCUAGGCACAAAGGGAAGCUGAUUUUCUUACAUGAAGGCAAGAGAAGUGAUGAAUUGUAGCCAUAUUUUUGCCAAGAAUGUGUCAGUAAAGUGAACUUCCACCUCCCCUGUUGGCAGUACGUCCAUGCCAAUCAGUGCCUUGCUUUUUGUCUGCAUGUUGGCUUAGGGGAAGGUCUGCAUACCGGAAUACAUACACCCACCCAUCUGUGGCAUUAUACCUUAACAGGAUCCAGGAUUUCUCAACAAAAAUGUCAGGGUACAAUUAAACAGCCAUCAUAUCAAGAACCAGGAAAAUCACUCAUGAAUGAGAACAAAGAACACGUGCCAACACUGAGAUUUAUCUGACGAAUAUUUGAAAGCAGCCAUGAUAAAAAUGUUUUAGCAAGCUGUUACAAAUUCUAGAAAAGCUCAGCAAAGAAAUAGAAUUUCUUAAGAAUGAAAAAGAAAUUAUAGAGCUAAAAAAACAACAAAUUAAAAAAGUGAAUGGACUCAGUUGUGGAGAUAACAGAGUAUAGAAUUUACUCAAUAUACAUAGCAGAGAAAAUAGAGUGGGAAAAAAAAAAUAGUCUCUCAUACCUCUGGACAGUAAGUUAAUAUUCAUGUCAACACAGCCCCAGAGAGGAAAGGAGAAAGUAAGACCAAAAAACAAAAUUUAAAGAAAUAUCUAAAAACUUCCCAAGAUGGUGAAAGACAUAAACUUGCAUUUGAAAAGCUGAACGAAUCCCAAACAGGAUAAACCCAAAGAAAUCUCUGCCAAGAAACACCAUGAUUAAACUUCUACAGACUAAAGAGAAAACUAUUGAAAUUAUCCAGAGAGAAGUGACACCCUUUCUUGUAGGGGAAAACCAAUUUAAAUGAGAGGAGCUUGCUCAUCUGGAACCAUGGAGGCCAUGACACACUUUGUAGGGACUGAGAGAAAAUAUCAGCCACAAAUUGUAUGUGAGGCGAUCCCAGUAACAGAAUCAUUCAGGAGUAGAAGGGAAAGGACGUGUUUCUGAGAUAAAGAAUAACUAAGAAUUUAUUGCUAGCAAAUAAAAAAGAGUCGGAACUUCAGGAAUAUUUAUCCAUUCCAGUGUUCUUUCAUAACAGAUCCUGAUGAGCUUCUUAAAUCAUAUUUCAUAGUGGAAACAAAGCACAUACCACAAUAUGAUGUGAUAAAUCUAUGUAAAACAUCUAAGAUAAUUAUUCUUGAAAAAGGGAGCAGAUAAAGAGACCGAAGGGGAAUUAAGUUGUGUAUACUUAAAAUGAUAAAAUAUGAUACCCAUAGCACAAGUUACAUAUGCAUAUUUUAAUCUUUAGAGCAACUGCUAAAAAAUUACAGAAAGCAAUAUACUCAAAACACACUGAACAAAUUAAGAUGGAAUUCUUAAAAUGUUUACAUUAUUUAUAGUAAGGUAAAAGAGAACCAGGAAGAAAUAGGAAACAAUUAAAUACAGACUUAAGGCCUUCCGUAUGUAUAGUUACCUUAAAUAGUAGGGGGUCUGAAUUUACUCAGAAGACAGAGAUUGGCAGAAUGGUAAGAAAAUAUCCUAAAUUAUACUGUUUACAAGAAAAGCAUUGAUAAAUGAUGAAUAAGUGUGUUGAAAGUAAGGGAUGGAGAAGAAUGUUGUUUGAAUAUUUAAAAAGUGACCAUGUUGGAGUUUCUGUUGUGGCUCAGUGGGUUAAGAACCCAGUUGGUACCCAUGAAGACACAGGUUUGAUCCCUGGCCUUGCUCAGUGGGUUAAGGAUCUGGUGUUGCUGUAGGUUGUUGUGUAGGCUGUAGAUGUGGCUUGGAUCUGCUCUUGGCCAUGGCUGUGGUAUAGGCUCGUGGCUGUGGCUCUGACUUAGCCCCUAGCCUUGGAACUUCUGUAUGCCACAGAUGUGGCCCUAAACAAACAAACAGUCAUAUUAAUAGCAGAAAAUUUCAGGACAAAGAAGCUUAACUAGAGAGAAAGACACAUGAUAGAAGAACCAACCCAAUAUGGAAGACAUAAUGAUAUGGAAUAUUUACAUACCAAGGAAGAAAACAUUAAAAUAUAUGAAGCAAAACUUACACCUAUUUGUAAGUAUAAAUGAAGUUGGAGUCUUUUAACACACUGUUCUCAACAAUGGAUAUAACUACUAGAUGGAAAAUCAAGACAACAGGAAAUUUUUUUCAACACUUGAAACACAUUUAUUAAUAAUGCAUGGUUGAAAGGAAAAUUUCAAAAGAAAUUAAUGAAAAUACAGUAUGUCAGAUAUGUGGGAUGUGGCUUAAAGCAGUGCUGAGAGGAAAGUUGUAGUAUUAAAUGAUUGCCUUUGAAAGGAGGAAAGAUCUAAUAUCAAUAAUUAAGCUACCUCAAACUACAAAAGAGCGAACUCUAAAACAAGGAAAAGGAGUUCCUGUCAUGACUCAGCAGUUAACGAAUCUGAUUAGCAUCCACGAGGAUGCAGGUUCGAUCCCUGGCCUUGAUCAGUGGGUUACGGAUCCGGUGUUGCUGUGAGCUGUGGUGUAGGUUGCAGACACGGCUCGGAUCCUGCAUUGCUGUGGCAUAGGCCAGCAGCUACAGCUUCGAUUUGACCCCUAGCCUGGGAACCUC